GACGAACCGUGCGAACGUUAUUCGGAAUCACUGGGCUUAAAGCGCGUGUAGGCGGGAGGGCACGUCCGUCGCUGAAAUCCCCCGGCUCAACCGGGGAACGGGCGCGGAUACGACCUUCCUGGAGGGGCGUAGGGGGACCUGGAACUUCCGGUGGAGCGGUGAAAUGCGUAGAGAUCCGGAGGAACACCGACGGCGAAGGCAGCGCCCUGGCCGCCAUCUGACGCUCAGGCACGAAAGCUGGGGGAGCGAACAGG
rnacentral:rRNA from 1 species